rnacentral:lncRNA from 1 species
AUGCAGUGCAUAGCCCUAUUCAUGUGGCAAAGUGCAGGAGCGAGGCAACCUGCAGCCAUGCCUGCGUGCUCGCGCGAGGCCGCCUCCUCGUCAGCUUCGCUCCGCCGCCGCGGUUUCCCCCGGUUGGCCGUGGUGCUCGGAGCCGGUUCCAGCGUCAUGAGCAAGUCGCACGUGGUGGUGGCGGCGGCGAGCUGCGCGAGGUCGCGACGUCGACAGCGGAGGUGCCGAGGAAACGGCCUUGAGCGAGGCGAGUGCGGCGUCGCUUGCGGCGCGGAGGCCGGUACACGGAAGCCGGUGCAACCGGCGGAGGCGGCGGAGCUCGACGCGGAGGGCCAUCUGAGGCUGCCCGGGCCGAGGCGGGUGCGGCAUCGCCUGCGGCGAGGAGGCCAGUAUGGCGGAGCCGACGGAGCCGACGCACGUAGGCCGGCACGCGCAUGCCUGUGAGUGGAGGUGG